rnacentral:lncRNA from 1 species
AAAAAUGAUCAUUCCCUGAAUUGGACGCUUGCCCUAAUUAUUUGUUUAUAUAUAUUUCAUUCAUGGUAGUACGAUUUAUUUAACGUUAUUAGUGAAAUAUGAAAGAAAAGCAAGCAGGAAAUGAAAAUGGGGAGAAGGGGUGGGUUUAGAUUGAGGCACAUGAUGGGAAAGGAAAGGAAGAAAGGCAAUCUAAGGGAGGGGAUAUGGAUGAAAGGAAACUGCAAAAGCACAGGAAAGUACUGCUCCUUUUAACUCUCUUUUACUUUGCGACUCUUACAGGCAGCAGUUGCCAGCUGCCUAAAAAAAAGAUGCCAAACAGUACAAUGCGCAUUCAUCCAUCGCCCUUAAGACAUGAACAGCCCCAUCGCUUCUCUUUCACCUAACCCAACCCUCGCUUACUCACUUACAUAUAUAUGCGCCAUGUAAUUAUAUAUAGUUAUACACAAACAGGUCGUAUGUAACGGUUACCGAGAAUUUACGAGGAAAAUCUCAUGAGUUAACAUCAAAGCUGGUAAUCAGAGGAGAAAGGGAAGGAUGGUUAAGCUUCUCUCUCUCAUCUCACUGCUAAUUAGUCAGCCCUUUUUAAAGCUAAAGCAGAAGCAGAAGCAGAAGCAGCAGCAGCCUAGCUAUUUCAAAACCCUACAAUGGGGGGACCUCUCUCAUUCUCUUUCAUCAUUUAUUCAGAUGAAAGGUCCUCAUGCAUGAUGCUCCACCAUUUUUUUUCUUUUUUUCUAAUAUACUAUUUUCUUUUCUUUGCAGCCAAUAAAUUAAAUGUUAAUCAGUGUAGUAGUAGUACUACUCUUUAUUAUUAUUAUUAUUAUUAUUAUUAUUAUUAUUAUUAUUAUUAUUAUAGUCUGGUAAAUUUGUAUUUAGAGAUGCAACUGUGGAGCUAACAGUGACGAGAGAGGGUGAGGACCACACUCCGCCUAGGGUACCCCUCCCCUCUGCCAUCUUCAUCCUCCCCCCCCCCCCAAACCACAUUCUCACACAAUUUCACUAUGAUCCAGUUGGCGGUUAUCUUAUUUCAUAUUUCUUUUGCUGGCUUUUUGUCCCCUUCCUUCUCCCUCUUUUAUUUCAUUGUAGAGAGACAAGACAUGAUAAGUUAUGUAUUGUAUUGUUUCUUUUAAUGUUUCAAUAAUCUGUUUAUAUAUAUAUAUAUUACUUAUUUUUACUAUAU